rnacentral:rRNA from 1 species
AUUGAACGCUGGCGGCAUGCUUUACACAUGCAAGUCGAACGAGUGGCGCACGGGUGAGUAAUACAUCGGAACGUGUCCUAUCGUGGGGGAUAACUGAUCGAAAGAUCAGCUAAUACCGCAUACGAUUGGAGCGGCCGAUGCCCGAUUAACUAGUUGGUGAGGUAACGGCUCACCAAGGCGAAGCUCGGGAGCUGGUCUGAGAGGACGACCAGCCACACUGGGACGGAGAAACGGGCCAGACUCCUACGGUAGGCAGCAGUGGGGAAUGUUGGGCAAUGGGUGCAACCCGGAUCCAGCCAUGCCGCGUGCAGUAUGAAGGUCUUCGGAUUGUAAACUGCUGUUGUCAGGGAAGCGGUACCUGAAGAAUAAGCACCGGCUAACUACGUGCCAGCCGCCGCGGUAAUUC